rnacentral:tRNA from 1 species
GCCCUCGUAGUUCAAUGGAUAGAACAUGGGACUUCUAAGCCUGGGAUGUAGGUUCGAUUCCUACCGGGGGCA